GGGAUCGCGAGCGGACUGGGUCCUUUCGCAGAGCUACUCGAGGCCCAAGCGAGCGGGUCAUUCGGUAGAGUUUGGGAGUCUUUCCUGCACUCGUUUUGCUGCUGGGGACACAACCCAGGACUUCUUGCAUAUAAGGCUACACAUUUUGAGAUGAGGAAGGUGGAUCUCUGCUCGAGCACUGAAGGGACAGAAGUGAUUCUGGCCACGUCGAGUGAUGAAAAGCACCCGCCUGAAAACAUCAUUGACGGGAAUCCAGAAACCUUUUGGACCACCACAGGCAUGUUUCCCCAGGAGUUCAUUAUUUGUUUCCACAAACACGUAAAGAUUGA
rnacentral:lncRNA from 1 species